CUUCAGAGGAGAUAAACUCUGAGGCUGGAUGAUUUAUGGUCUUUUCUAUUUGUUUAAGAGCCUUUAACAUGAACAACUUUCAUAGUGGAGCUGCAGCUGCACAAAAUCUAUAAAGUCAUUUUGGAAAAUGUCAGCGACAUAUAUGAAGCCCUGCGUCUGUUAACUGUUACAGGGUCUUGUAUCGAUCCUAACAGGUAACUAAAUCUACCUGUCAGAAAAACGCCUUGAGCUCCGAGCUAAUACAUCUCUGCCCGCAGAUAUAUAGCAACCGCUACGAGCUGGCGGGGCCGGCGUGUUGGGGGUAACAAGCCCGUUGUUUAGCCGACAUGUCACAUGAAUCAGGCCAAUUGUAUGAUGGCCUUUUCUGGCGCGGCGGCCUCGUAAACACCAAGGUCAGCUGCAACAGUGGAUGGAGACAUAAAUGGGUCAUAUAUAUUGUAACAAGGCCGCGGGGGUCAGAGCAGACUCAACCUUGAGCGCAACCUCGCUUGCACUCCCUCCCCCUGCGGACUCAUUCUCCCAGACUCCUUUAUUGCUCAUUUCUAUGGCAACGGUCUGCUCGGCGAGUCGGCCCCUUAAUAGUUAAAAGCGGCGUCUUCUUCUUAUGGAAAUAUAAAGACAGAGAAAAAGAAACCAGGGCUGUGCUUCAUGAUGUUUUUAUGGUGACUGGAGCGCCUGAUGUUUUCCCAGAGGCAGGCGCAUGAUUGGCUGCACCCCCCCUCCUCCAACCUGACAUACACAUCAGCAUACAUGCGCUCCCAGCCCCUCGCCCAUCUCCGUCCCUGUGUUGGCGAAGCCUCCGGGGCCCCUGGGGCGGAGAAACAAAGAUAAUAAUUGGCUGGAGUUUAUCGUUGACUGCAUUGUGAGCGUGUGCAUUUGAUCUUUUCUUUGGUGGCAGCAACAGUCCAAAGAGGCUCCAUCACCUUCAAAAGCCGUGAACUCAGCCGUGAAACGUGCUCAGAAGGCUUGAGGGCCGUUAAGACGAGCGCCAACAGCUCCAUCAGGUGUGGGCGGGCCGAGUGACGGCUGGACGGACAGAUGAUGGAGCUGAUUGUCAGGAACCGUGCGCCGUAGAUGCUAAUAUGGUUGAAAAUAUGUGCAGUGAUGGUUUAUUGGGUCAGGGGUUCAUCUCUCUGCUGCUCCUCUUCUUCUUCUUCUUCUUCUUCUUUUAUUAUUUAGCUGCUUUUCUUUUGAUCAGACUGGUUUGAUUCCUUUCUGCUGCUUUCUUUGAGUCGUGCCCUCUAUAUGAGAGAGUUCAGUCUGUUCUUGUGGAAUUAUUUCUGUUGCAAAACUUGAAUUUCCACCUGUUUCAGGAUUCAUAAUUUAACAAAGAAUUUACCUGCUGUUGGGUUUCUGUUAAAUCCAAAUUACUCCUCUAAAAAAGCUGGUCAAGACCGUCCAAAGACCCGGUGUAAAGACGGGAUGAGACUGAAACACUGAACAGCAUUUAUCGGAUUACUGUGGAGAGGAAGAACUUCCUAUAACAGGCAGAAACCUCGAGCAGAACCAGACUCGUGUUAGACAGACAUGCAGAGGUCCAAAGUCUUGUUUUUGAUGAAAGUAACAGGUAGAAACCUCGAGCAGAACCAGACUCAUGUUAGACAAAUAUCUGCUGAGACUGAGCGGGGUUUAGGGAAGAAGGAGAGGGAGAUAAAGAGAUACAAAGUCCUGUUUUCAGAUGAAAGUCAUUUUCUUUAACAGGCAGAAACCUUGAGCACAUUCGGACUGAUGUUAGACAGACAUGCAGAGGUCCAAAAUCUUGUUUUUGAUGAAUGUAACAGGCAGAAACCUUGAGCAGAACCAGAUUGAUGUUAGAAAGUCAUCUCCUGAGGCUAAACUGGGUUUAGGGAGUUGAGAAAGGGAGGUGAAGAGGUCCAAAGUCCUGUUUACAGAUGAAUGUAACAGGCAGAAACCUCAAGCAGAACCAGAUUGAUAGACAGUCAUCUGCAGAGUCUGAGCUGGGUUUAGAGAGGGGAGAAAGGGAGGUGAAGAGGUCCAAAGUCCUGUUUUUCAGAUGAAAGUAAUUUUCUUCAACAGGCAGAAACCUCGAGCACAAACAGAUUCAUGUCGGACAGACACGCAGAGGUCCAAAGUCUUACAUUUUAUUUGGAAAUGAAGAUCCCAGAGUCUAGAUUCCUCAUAAUCCAAGUUGUCUGGAGUCCAGUCUCUGCAGUCUGUGAUAAUUUAGGGUGCCGUGUCAUCUGCUGGUUUUGGUUCACUGAGGUUAAGGUCGACAAAGAUGUCCUCCUGGAUAUUUGAGAGAUCUUUAUCUGCUGAGAAGCUCUCUAAAGAUGCUGCUUUUCUUCUCUAGUCAGACUUUGCACCUUUUGACAACGCCAAAACUACGACUAAAUGGGUUUGGUAGAUUUAUUUGACCUUCUCUAUCUAACCCUAACCCUGAGCUUUAACAACACCUUAUUAUCGCGUCUUUAUGCCACAAUGCAGGAGCCCAAACCAGAUCAAAAGCAGAUAUAUGAACUCAGUCUUUGGACAUUUCUGUCGAGGAUGAAGGAUUCCUGACUUCUAUGAGCUAUCAUGAUGAAUUAUUCGCUUUAACGUGCCGCAAAUAGGAGGAAUUCAAGUCACCACAAGUUCAA